UACGUAGGGUCCGAGCGUUGUCCGGAAUUAUUGGGCGGAAAGGGCUCGUAGGCGGGUUGUCGCGUCGGGAGUGAAAACACGGGGCUUAACCCCGUGCCUGCUUCCGAUACGGGCAGACUAGAGGUAUGCAGGGGAGAACGGAAUUCCUGGUGUAGCGGUGAAAUGCGCAGAUAUCAGGAGGAACACCGGUGGCGAAGGCGGUUCUCUGGGCAUUACCUGACGCUGAGGAGCGAAAGUGUGGGGAGCGAACAGG
rnacentral:rRNA from 1 species